AUGCAUGCGUCACCUUGCUGCAAAUUUCAUGAAGAAAUUCAAAGGAAAGGUGUAUACCAAAAAUUUAUGGCCAGCAUCUUUGACUUGCAGUGUGAAGAAGCACAACUACCAAUUGAGGCAGUUAUACAUGAAUCCCAAAGUGAAAGAAUACUUGCAAACACACCACUCCAAGUUAUGGGCCAGAAUCCAAUUCAGUGA
rnacentral:rRNA from 1 species